rnacentral:rRNA from 1 species
AUUGAACGCUAGCGGGAUGCUUUACACAUGCAAGUCGAACGAGUGGCGGACGGGUGAGUAAUAUAUCGGAACGUGCCCAGUAGCGGGGUAUAACGACUCGAAAGAGUGGCUAAUACCGCAUACUGUUGGAUCGGCCGAUAUGGGAUUAGCUAGUUGGUGGGGUAAAGGCUCACCAAGGCAACGAGCCGUAGCAGGUUUGAGAGGACGACCGGCCACACUGGGACGGAGACACGGCCCAGACUCCUACGGGAGGCAGCAGUGGGGAAUUUUGGACAAUGGGCGAAAGCCUGAUCCAGCCAUCCCGCGUGUAUGAGAAGGCCUUCGGGUUGUAAAGUACUUUUGGCAGAGAAGCGGUAUCUGCAGAAUAAGCACCGGCUAACUACGUGCCAGCAGCCGCGGUAAUUC